rnacentral:rRNA from 1 species
CUGCCUAGUAGUGGGGGAUAGCUCGGGGAAACUCGAAUUAAUACCGCAUACGACCUACGGGUGAAAGGGGGCGCAAGCUCUUGCUAUUAGAUGAGCCUAAAUCAGAUUAGCUAGUUGGUGGGGUAAAGGCCCACCAAGGCGACGAUCUGUAACUGGUCUGAGAGGAUGAUCAGUCACACCGGAACUGAGACACGGUCCGGACUCCUACGGGAGGCAGCAGUGGGGAAUAUUGGACAAUGGGGGCAACCCUGAUCCAGCCAUGCCGCGUGUGUGAAGAAGGCCUUUUGGUUGUAAAGCACUUUAAGCAGGGAGGAGAGGCUAAUGGUUAAUACCCAUUAGAUUAGACGUUACCUGCAGAAUAAGCACCGGCUAACUCUGUGCCAGCAGCCGCGGUAAUACAGAGGGUGCGAGCGUUAAUCGGAAUUACUGGGCGUAAAGCGAGUGUAGGUGGCUCAUUAAGUCACAUGUGAAAUCCCCGGGCUUAACCUGGGAACUGCAUGUGAUACUGGUGGUGCUAGAAUAU